AUGGACCAUUCCAUCCCUUUUUCCCGUGCAUAUGCAUCGGACUCGGAUGACGAUGGUCCCGAUGAACAAGUUGAUGCGGAGGGGUUCACGGUGAAGGAGGCCGAAGCUUUCGAGAAGGUAUUUGGUCGGGAUCAUCGGACUACAUUGUUCAAGGAUGUUAGUCUCGCGGAUGAAGCCGUGGUAGAUGGUGGCCAAUGUGUACCUCUUGGGGUUAGGCCAAACUCUCAC
rnacentral:rRNA from 1 species